rnacentral:rRNA from 1 species
UACGGAGGGUGCAAGCAUUAAUCGGAUUUAUUGGGCGUAAAGGGCGCGUAGGCGGGAAGGGUAGUCAGACGUGAAAUCCCGGGGCUCAACCCCGGAACUGCAUCUGAAACUCCCAUUCUAGAGGGUAGGCGGAGAAAAUGGAAUUCCACGUGUAGCGGUGAAAUGCGUAGAUAUGUGGAAGAACACCAGUGGCGAAAGCGAUUUUCUAGCUUAUACCUGACGCUGAGGCGCGAAAGCAAGGGGAUCAAACAGG